rnacentral:rRNA from 1 species
AUUGAACGCUGGCGGCAUGCCUUACACAUGCAAGUCGAACGGUAACGCGGGGCAACCUGGCGACGAGUGGCGAACGGGUGAGUAAUGCAUCGGAACGUGCCCAAUAGUGGGGGAUAGCCCGGCGAAAGCCGGAUUAAUACCGCAUACGACCUACGGGUGAAAGCAGGGGAUCGCAAGACCUUGCGCUAAUGGAGCGGCCGAUGUCAGAUUAGGUUGUUGGUGGGGUAAAGGCCUACCAAGCCGACGAUCUGUAGCUGGUCUGAGAGGACGACCAGCCACACUGGGACUGAGACACGGCCCAGACUCCUACGGGAGGCAGCAGUGGGGAAUUUUGGACAAUGGGCGCAAGCCUGAUCCAGCCAUGCCGCGUGCGGGAUGAAGGCCUUCGGGUUGUAAACCGCUUUUGUUAGGGAAGAAAUACUCUGGGCUAAUACCCCGGAGGGAUGACGGUACCUAAAGAAUAAGCACCGGCUAACUACGUGCCAGCCGCCGCAGUAAUAC